UACGGGGGGGGCAAGCGUUGCUCGGAAUGACUGGGCGUAAAGGGCGCGUAGGCGGAUGACACAGUCAGAUGUGAAAUUCCCGGGCUUAACCUGGGGGCUGCAUUUGAGACGUGCUGUCUAGAGUGAGGAAGAGGGUUGUGGAAUUCCCAGUGUAGAGGUGAAAUUCGUAGAUAUUGGGAAGAACACCGGUGGCGAAGGCGGCAACCUGGUCCUUGACUGACGCUGAGGCGCGAAAGCGUGGGGAGCAAACAGG
rnacentral:rRNA from 1 species